rnacentral:sRNA from 1 species
CGCGGAUUACGGUGGCGG